rnacentral:rRNA from 1 species
AUACAGAGGGUGCGAGCGUUAAUCGGAAUUACUGGGCGUAAAGCGCGCGUAGGCGGCUUAUUAAGUCAGAUGGGAAAUCCCCGGGCUCAACCUGGGAACUGCAUCUGAUACUGGUAAGCUAGAGUUUUGGAGAGGGAAGUAGAAUUUCAGGUGUAGCGGUGAAAUGCAUAGAGAUCUGAAGGAAUACCAGUGGCGAAGGCGACUUCCUGGCCAAAAACUGACGCUGAGGUGCGAAAGCGUGGGUAGCAAACGGGAUUAGAUACCCUAGUAGUCC